AAGCCCUAAUCCCUAACAAACACCCACGCGACUUCGCUUCUUCUCCAAAAGCACCCGAAUCCAGCCUUAAUAAUGUCCAAAUUAGAGUGAUUGAACCUCAAAUCUCUCCUCAUACGUUCGCCUUUCUCUCCUCUAACCACAAAUAAUUGUUUCUAACGCGAAUAUUCUUGUUCCCUUCACUCGCUCGAUUUGGAGAUAAGGCACGCGAUUGGAAUCUUCUGGGAACGAUUUGCUGGAUGAGUGUGAGAUGUUGGAUUGAUUCCACUUAAUCCAAGCCCCACAUUCAUCAGACAUUUGUUCUCAAUAGGGAAUUUUAGAUGGAUUUAGAGGGGGGGAGGGACUCGGCUAACAAAAUUUAGAGAAAAAGUUAAAAGGGUUUGGGGAACUAAUGGUUUUCAGGGUUUAUUUUUAUUCUUGAUGUGUUCUUUCAAAGUGUACGAGAAACAUACAUACAAUUAUUAUUUUUUGAAUUCAGAUUUGAGUUCUAGCGAGAUACAAAUUGAAGUUCGAGGUUGGUUUUUUUACUGUCUUCUUGUUGAUUUGAUGUUGUACCUCACUAGGACUUGGAGUCGAGAGUUGUAUUGUCGAGUUGAUAGUUGUUAUAAAUGAGAUUUUCAACUUCAGAUUCAAUUUUCCUCUCUUUUAUUCGAUGCGACUCUGCUUUGUUUGUGUUUUUGAGCUAUGAGAUUCAAUCUAGAGUGGUAUGUUUUGUGUUGUGAUCGAAUUUCUUAUUCAAUGAAUCUAUUCUCAGUGGUAUUAUGUAUUUAAGUAUGUUAAGUUAGUAAAAGUUAAGUUUGAAGGG
rnacentral:lncRNA from 1 species